rnacentral:rRNA from 1 species
CGCGGGGGCAACCCUGGCGACGAGAGGCGGACGGGUGAGCAAUGCUUGGGAAUCUGCCCAUCAGCGGGGGACAACCCGGGGAAACUCGGGCUAAUACCGCAUACGCUCUACGGAGGAAAGCCGGGGACCGCAAGGCCUGGCACUGACGGAUGAGCCCAAGCCGGAUUAGCUAGUUGGCGGGGUAACGGCCCACCAAGGCGACGAUCCGUAGCUGGUCUGAGAGGACGAUCAGCCACACCGGAACUGAGACACGGUCCGGACUCCUACGGGAGGCAGCAGUGGGGAAUAUUGGACAAUGGGGGAAACCCUGAUCCAGCGACGCCGCGUGGGUGAAGAAGGCCUGCGGG